rnacentral:rRNA from 1 species
CUGGGCGUAAAGCGAGCGCAGACGGUUACUUAAGCAGGAUGUGAAAUCCCCGGGCUUAACCUGGGAACUGCGUUCUGAACUGGGUGACUAGAGUGUGUCAGAGGGAGGUAGAAUUCCACGUGUAGCAGUGAAAUGCGUAGAGAUGUGGAGGAAUACCGAUGGCGAAGGCAGCCUCCUGGGAUAACACUGACGUUCAUGCUCGAAAGCGUGGGUAGCAAACAGGAUUAGAUACCCUGGUAGUCCACGCCGUAAACGAUGAGUGCUAGGUGUUAGACCCUUUCCGGGGUUUAGUGCCGUAGCUAACGCAUUAAGCACUCCGCCUGGGGAGUACGACCGCAAGGUUGAAACUCAAAGGAAUUGACGGGGGCCCGCACAAGCGGUGGAGCAUGUGGUUUAAUUCGAAGCAACGCGAAGAACCUUACCAGGUCUUGACAUCCCUCUGACCGCUCUAGAGAUAGAGCUUUCCUUCGGGACAGAGGUGACAGGUGGUGCAUGGUUGUCGUCAGCUCGUGUCGUGAG